rnacentral:rRNA from 1 species
UGGGGAAUAUUGGACAAUGGGCGGAAGCCUGAUCCAGCAACGCCGCGUGAGGGAUGNCGGCCUUCGGGUUGUAAACCUCUUUUCAGUACCGGCGAAGCGGAAGUGACGGUAGGUACAGAAGAAGCACCGGCCAACUACGUGCCAGCAGCCGCGGUAAUACGUAGGGUGCGAGCGUUGUCCGGAAUUAUUGGGCGUAAAGGGCUCGUAGGCGGUUUUGUCGCGUCGGGAGUGAAAACACUGGGCUUAACUCAGUGCUUGCUUCCGAUACGGGCAGACUAGAGGCAUGCAGGGGAGAACGGAAUUCCUGGUGUAGCGGUGAAAUGCGCAGAUAUCAGGAGGAACA